CGUUAAGAAGCUAUGAACCAGCACUAGCCUUUUAAGCUAGAGAGAGGGGAUGCCCUCCCCCUUAAUGA
ensembl:Mt_tRNA